rnacentral:lncRNA from 1 species
GGUUUGGGAAAAAUGGACUGUAUUUUCUGAGUUCACCACUUGUCAGCACAGAAUGCUUUAAAACAACAUAAAGCAAAAUGUUGCCAAGCAUUUCAAUCAAAAAGAACCUAAAGAAAUCCAGGGGAAAAUAUCUACUUAUGUAAAAUACAAUGUGGAAUGCCUACCCUUUGAGAGUUCUUAAAGAUUCCAACCUUCAUAAUUCAUGUGAUAUUGAAUGCUGAUGUGCUACAUAAGUUGAUUUAACUGAUUUCCUUGUUCAUUCAAAAUACAAUCUUGUAGAAUUCUCUUCUGGCCCUUGGAAAUGCUGUGCUGAAGAGACUUCAAGGCUUUAAUGGAAAUGCCAUUUCCUGUACUUCCUCCUCUGUCUUUGGCCUUAGAGACAGCUGAGAUGCUAAAGAGAGAAGUCCUGUUUUAUUAAUAUGUAUGUACUGCAUAGUGAGGACAAAUAUCUCAGAGGUGAAGAGGCCUAGGGUUACAAAAACUGUGUUUGUAUUUUAACAAUUAGUUUUUCAGUGGUUGAUUUUUCUGGAGGUUUUAUUCACUUGGAUUCAUAUUGAUUGGAAGAAUGCAUGAGACCAGAUUUGUUAGUAGUACUGACACAGUGGUUGCUGUUGGCUUCCUGGUGAUGAAAAUGAGCUUCUUUGCAGCUGCUCUGAGAGCUCCCAGUCUUAUUGAUGAGAAAUAGUACCAGAAAGCAACUAGACCUCAAUGAACAUCUUUCUUUUCCUCUGGCAGAAUUUAAUGGGGAGCAGAGGGCAAAGCAGAAAGGUGGUCCACAGAACCUGAGAU